GGCGAGAUGGCGGAGCCGUCUAAAGCGCUGAUUUUAGGCACCAGUCUCUUCGGAUGCGUGGGUUCGAAUCCCACUAUCGUCA
rnacentral:tRNA from 1 species